UUCGAGGAACAAUCACCACUGUAGGAGGGAGCUCCAAGAUGUUGAACAAAAAGGAGCAAAAGGUAGACUGUACAAAGUGACCUGGAUUUUAUCUUUGAAAUGCUACUUGCAAUGUUCUACAAUGGAGCCAGCGGUACCUGUAAUCUCAGCACUUGGAAGAAUGCGUCAAAAAGAUCGCAAGUCUAAGUCACACCAGGGCAAUUUAACAAGAACCCGCCUCAGAAUAACUUUGUAAAAAAAAAAAAAAUGGGCUGGGGAUGUAGCUCAGUGUGAGGGCCUGGGUUCAAUCUCUAGUACCAUAAGGAAAACGAAGGAAGAAGAGAAGGAAGGGAGGGAGGGAAGGUUCUACAACGGACAUAAGCUCCUUCAUAAUCAGAAAUGUUAGUUUGAAGAAAGCAGAAGUUGACUGAGCUGUCCUCAGCCGUACAGUAAUGAAGGCUUCAGGUGGACUCUAGGUGUCCUUUGAGGUAGAGGAUGCUGCUUUUCAGGAUGAACUGGAAUUGGAAGAGAAAGUUCUCUCUUAAAGAGUUUUCUCUUACCAACAUUGCCUCCAUCCCCGCUAAUGCUGCUGGGUUCUGCGAGGCAGACGACCACGGCUUUCCGCACAACAUCCGGGCAUUUCACCGGCCGGGCCGUCACCCCUCCCUCCCACCACCGCCGGUUACCCAGGGGUCUCCCCCAAGACCAGCCUGCAGGGUGGGUGGGCGAGGUGGCCGGAGCACAGGGGAGCCGGGGGCAGAGGAUGAAAGCGGAGCUUUUGGCUUCGGCUAUCAGCCAGCAGAGCUCAGAUGGCGAAAUGGAGGCUCACAGAGAUCAAGUGGCAGCAUCGUCUCCUUUCAACACCCCAGCUUCAGACGCUUGGCUGGGGCCUGUGCCCGCUUGACCCACAGCCCACCGGGGGCAUGGAGGCAUGGAGCCCAGGACCUCAGGAGAAGGUUCUGGGGGGCUCUUCCUCAGCAAGGCUGGAGCUCGGGGCUGAGCCAGCCUUGUUGUGGGGCUGCCCGUGUAUGCAGCGGCCUGUCAUACACCGGAAGCGCGGCCCCCACUGUGACAAUCAGGAAUGUCUCCAAAUGUGUCCCUUGGGGCCACGUCUCUCUCUCUCUCUCUCUCUCUCUCUCUCNNNNNNNNNNNNNNNNNNNNNNNNNNNNNNUCUCUCUCUCUCUCUCUCUCUCUCUCUCUCUCUCACACACACACACACACACACACACACCCUGUGAGAAGCACUGUGCUAAUGACAGACAGCAGGGUUCCCUAGUCUCAGACCCUGUCUCAAAUAAACAAACAGAAACUACUGUAUAA
rnacentral:lncRNA from 1 species